ACCAGACUCCUACGGGAGGCAGCAGUGGGGAAUAUUGGGCAAUGGGCGAAAGCCUGACCCAGCAACGCCGCGUGAAGGAAGAAGGCUUUCGGGUUGUAAACUUCUUUUGACAGGGAAGAGCAGAAGACGGUACCUGUCGAAUAAGCCACGGCUAACUACGUGCCAGCAGCCGCGGUAAUACGUAGGGGGCAAGCGUUAUCCGGAUUCACUGGGUGUAAGGGGAGCGUAGACGGCCAUGCAAGCCUGGAGUGAAAGCCCGGGGCCCAACCCCGGGACUGCUCUGGGAACUGUGCGGCUGGAGUGCGGGAGGGGCAGGCGGAAUUCCUGGUGUAGCGGUGAAAUGCGUAGAUAUCAGGAGGAACACCGGCGGCGAAGGCGGCCUGCUGGACCGCGACUGACGUUGAGGCUCGAAAGCGUGGGGAGCGAACAGGAUUAGAUACCCGCGUAG
rnacentral:rRNA from 1 species